GCCAAAAUUCUAGCCCCACCUUCCUUUAAUAAACCUCCCCAUCAGACUCACACUAAAUAAAACAUUUUUACUAUUUAGUAUAGGUGAUAAAAAAAUAAAUUGGAGCAAUACAAAUAGUACCGCAAGGGAAAGAUGAAAUAAAAAUGAAACAAAUAUAAAGCACAAAAAAGUAGAGACAUAACCUCGUACCUUUUGCAUCAUGGUUUAACAAGUCCAAUCAAGCAAAAAGACUUACAGUUUGACCCCCCGAAACUAAGCGAGCUACUUCAAGGCAGCUUAACGAGCUAACCCGUCUCUGUAGCAAAAGAGUGGAAAGACCUUCAAGUAGCGGUGAUAGACCUAACGAGCUUAGUGAUAGCUGGUUACUCAUGAAAAGGAUUUUAGUCCUCCCUAAAAUUAAAAUAAUCUAACAAAAUAAGCAACUAAAUUUUAGAGACAUUCAGAUAAGGUACAGCCUAUCUGAAACAGGAUACAACCUCAGCCAAUGGGUAACUCAUUUAAUUUUACUAAAAAGUGGGCCUAAAAGCAGCCACCCUUUAAAUAGCGUCAAAGCUUAUUCGUAAUUAAUUAAAAAUCCCUACACCUCCCACUAACCCUUCAACAGUACUGAGUAAUUCUAUAUUCCUAUAGAAACUUUUAUGUUAAAACUAGUAACAAGAAGAAGACCUUCUCUUAAAUGCAUCUGUAAAUCAGAAAGGACCAACCACUGAUAAUUAACUUCUAUGAACUCAAAGUAACAACUCAACUAGAAAAAAUUACUAACCAUAACGUUAACCUAACACAAGAGCAUUACAAGAAAGAUUUAAAGAGAAAGAAGGAACUCGGCAAGCAUUAACCCCGCCUGUUUAUCAAAAACAUCGCCUCUUGGANAAACAUAAGAGGUCCAGCCUGCCCAGUGACACUGUUCAACGGCCGCGGUAUCCUAACCGUGCGAAGGUAGCGUAAUCACUUGUCCUUUAAAUGAGGACUAGUAUGAAUGGCACCACGAGGGUUAUACUGUCUCCUUUCUCUAAUCAGUGAAACUAAUCUCCCCGUGAAGAAGCGAGGAUAUUUCUAUAAGACGAGAAGACCCUAUGGAGCUUUAAACAAAACAACAUCUGCUACUUUCACUUACCGAUUUCAGAAAAUUAACUCUUAUUUUAGCAUUAUACUUGUUAGUUUUAGGUUGGGGUGACCGCGGAGCAAAAAAUAACCUCCACAUUGAAAGGGACUUCCCCUAAGCAAAAAACCACAACUUUAUGCAUCAAUAAAUUGACAUUAAUUGACCCAAUAUUUUGAUCAACGAAACAAGUUACCCUAGGGAUAACAGCGCAAUCCACUUUGAGAGUCCAUAUCGACAAGUGGGUUUACGACCUCGAUGUUGGAUCAGGGUACCCCAGUGGUGCAGCCGCUACUAAAGGUUCGUUUGUUCAACGAUUAAAACCCUACGU
rnacentral:rRNA from 1 species